rnacentral:tRNA from 1 species
GGCGGCAUAGCCAAGUUGGCCUAAGGCGACGGUCUGCAAAAUCGUUAUUCGGCGGUUCGAAUCCGCCUGCCGCCUCCA